UCGAGCUGAAGAUCUGGGUCACCUCCCACCCGUGUUUAUUUUACCUUGUUGCUUCGGCGGGCCCGCCUUAACUGGCCGCCGGGGGGCUUACGCCCCCGGGCCCGCGCCCGCCGAAGACACCCUCGAACUCUGUCUGAAGAUUGUAGUCUGAGUGAAAAUAUAAAUUAUUUAAAACUUUCAACAACGGAUCUCUUGGUUCCGGCAUCGAUGAAGAACGCAGCGAAAUGCGAUACGUAAUGUGAAUUGCAAAUUCAGUGAAUCAUCGAGUCUUUGAACGCACAUUGCGCCCCCUGGUAUUCCGGGGGGCAUGCCUGUCCGAGCGUCAUUGCUGCCCUCAAGCACGGCUUGUGUGUUGGGCCCCGUCCUCCGAUCCCGGGGGACGGGCCCGAAAGGCAGCGGCGGCACCGCGUCCGGUCCUCGAGCGUAUGGGGCUUUGUCACCCGCUCUGUAGGCCCGGCCGGCGCUUGCCGAUCAACCCAAAUUUUUAUCCAGGUUGACCUCGGAUCAGGUAGGGAUACCCGCUGAACUUAAGCAUAC
rnacentral:rRNA from 1 species